rnacentral:rRNA from 1 species
GACGAACGCUGGCGGCGUGCCUAAUACAUGCAAGUAGAACGCUGAAGGAGGAGCUUGCUUCUCUGGAUGAGUUGCGAACGGGUGAGUAACGCGUAGGUAACCUGCCUGGUAGCGGGGGAUAACUAUUGGAAACGUUAGCUAAUACCGCAUAAGAGUAGAUGUUGCAUGACAUUUGCUUAAAAGGUGCAAUUGCAUCACUACCAGAUGGACCUGCGUUGUAUUAGCUAGUUGGUGGGGUAACGGCUCACCAAGGCGACGAUACAUAGCCGACCUGAGAGGGUGAUCGGCCACACUGGGACUGAGGCACGGCCCAGACUCCUACGGGAGGCAGCAGUAGGGAAUCUUCGGCAAUGGACGGAAGUCUGACCGAGCAACGCCGCGUGAGUGAAGAAGGUUUUCGGAUCGUAAAGCUCUGUUGUAAGAGAAGAACGAGUGUGAGAGUGGAAAGUUCACACUGUGACGGUAUCUUACCAGAAAGGGACGGCUAACUACGUG